rnacentral:rRNA from 1 species
UACAGAGGUCUCAAGCGUUGUUCGGAUUCACUGGGUGUAAAGGGUGCGUAGGUGGUGAGGUAAGUCGGAUGUGAAAGCUCGGAGCUCAACUCCGAAAUGGCAUUGGAAACUACCUUGCUCGAGGGUUGGAGGGGGGACUGGAAUGCUUGGUGUAGCAGUGAAAUGCGUAGAUAUCAAGCGGAACACCAGUGGCGAAGGCGAGUCCCUGGACAACUCCUGACACUGAGGCACGAAAGCUAGGGGAGCAAACAGG